CAGAGGGCAGGGCUGGAUGGGAUCUUGGCAAUUAGGAAUUGUUCCCUGGCAGGGUGGGCAGGCCCUGUGUUGUGUCACGUUGCAACAGAGUUCAUCAUGUCCAGAGAGAGUGCAGCUGCUGGUGCUGGGCAGGGGAACAAAAAAAGUCUUCAUUUUAUAAAGAUCAACAAUCCAUUUAUUAACUCUGGGGACGAGGAGGGAGAUGAAGACAAAAGACUGGAUUCCAGAUUUCUCCCAGUGAAAUAAGGCAGCUGGUUAUCCCUCUUCAGUUUUGUUGGGCAAGGAUUUGCUUCACUCUCCGAGUUGUGCUCAGUGACAAAACACAGGGAGCCACUCAACAGCAUGAUCAUCUCAAAGACCAGAAGCUUUGAUAGCCCAGAGAUGUGUGAUGCUGCUCAGUGUGGCUCAUUCUACACUCUCAGAUGAAAAACCACUGCAUGGGUUAAUGGUAUUAAUUCAGUUUAUGGCUUCCAGAAUGCCGCUGCUUUAUAGUCUGUUUAUGUCUUCUGAAAAAAUACAUAAGUAGUACAGUUAAAAAAAGUUAAUCUCAAUAGAGUCUUCUCCAAAUGCAUUCCUUUGGUGCCUGUGAUUUACUCUGCAAUCUGCUUCUCCUUGAGGGCACUGCUACUUCUUUGUUUAGUUUUGUUGUGUGCUACGCUA